GACGAAUGCUGGCGGCGUGCUUAACACAUGCAAGUCGAACGGAAAGGCCCUGCUUGCAGGGUACUCGAGUGGCGAACGGGUGAGUAACACGUGGGUGAUCUGCCCUGCACUUCGGGAUAAGCCUGGGAAACUGGGUCUAAUACCGGAUAUGAGCCAUCUUUAUUGCGAUGGUUGGAAAGUUUUUUCGGUGUAGGAUGAGCUCGCGGCCUAUCAGCUUGUUGGUGGGGUAAUGGCCUACCAAGGCGGCGACGGGUAGCCGGCCUGAGAGGGUGGACGGCCAAAUUGGGACUGGGAUACGGCCCAGACUCCAACGGGAGGCAGGAGGGGGGAAAAUUGCACAAUGGGGGCAAGCCUGAGGCAGCGACGCCGCGUGGGGGAGAACGGCCUUCGGGUUGUAAACUCCUUUCGCUAGGGACGAAGCUUUUGUGACGGUACCUGGAUAAGAAGCACCGGCUAACUACGUG
rnacentral:rRNA from 1 species